rnacentral:rRNA from 1 species
AUUCGACCUGAGCUCAGGUAAGAGCACGC